AUUGAACGCUGGCGGCAGGCCUAACACAUGCAAGUCGAACGAGUGGCGGACGGGUGAGUAAUGUCUGGGAAACUGCCUGAUGGAGGGGGAUAACUACUGGAAACGGUAGCUAAUACCGCAUACCCUCAGUUGUGCCCCGAUGGGAUUAGCUUGUCGGUGGGGUAACGGCUCACCAAGGCGACGAUCCCUAGCUGGUCUGAGAGGAGGACCAGCAACACUGGAACUGAGACACGGUCCAGACUCCUAAGGUAGGCAGCAGUGGGGAAUAUUGCACAAUGGGCGCAAGCCUGAUGCAGCCAUGCCGCGUGUAUGAAGAAGGCCUUCGGGUUGUAAAGUACGUUCAGCGGGGAGGCGUUACCCGCAGAAGAAGCACCGGCUAACUCCGUGCCAGCAGCCGCGGUAAUUC
rnacentral:rRNA from 1 species